rnacentral:pre_miRNA from 1 species
CAAGUGCUGGUCUCAGCGGAAUGAGGAGAGCACCACAGUGGUCACCACGCAGUCCGCUGAGGUUGGAGCUGC